GUGGGUGUGGAUUAGUGGUAGAGCGCUUGCUUAGCAUGCAUGGGGCACUGGGUUCAAUUCCCCCCCCGCC
rnacentral:tRNA from 1 species